UACGAAGGGUGCAAGCGUUAAUCGGAAUUACUGGGCGUAAAGCGUGCGUAGGCGGUGACUUAAGUCUGUUGUGAAAUCCCCGGGCUCAACCUGGGAAUGGCAAUGGAUACUGGGUCGCUAGAGUGUGAUAGAGGAUGGUGGAAUUCCCGGUGUAGCGGUGAAAUGCGUAGAGAUCGGGAGGAACAUCAGUGGCGAAGGCGGCCAUCUGGAUCAACACUGACGCUGAGGCACGAAAGCGUGGG
rnacentral:rRNA from 1 species